UUUUGUAUAAGCUUGAUAAUAAAAUAUAUAUAUAUAUAUUUAUAAAGGCUAUAGUAAUAGAUGAAUAGAGAGAGGGUCACGUGAGAGUGAGAGAAGAAUGAGGAAGUUAGUUUAGGAUAUUUGACUUAGUUGAAUUUAAAUUUAAAUUAUGAGGAAUUUUAUAUUAGUAAUUAAUCAAUAUUUUAUUCCUUAAAAAAAUAAAAGGUAUAGCUGAGUUUAAAUUUUAAAUUCCUAGAUUUUCUCUAAUCAGUUGAAUAUAUACGAUAUGGUUUUACCAUUCAAUGAAACGAUGAACACAAACUUCAUUCUCUACUUCUUUCUCUCCACUUAGAUAAUUCCUAAAUCUCUCAUAGCCUCUAUCACACCAAAUUACAGCAUAGCAUAAAUUGAAGCCUCUAUCACAAUAUUCAAUUUCUAAGGGCCUAGAAGGUAUCGUAGGAGUUAAUUACAGCGGAGUUGAGAUAAGUAAGCCUGUAAGUUUUCGGUGACAAGUUGAGUCUGGGCAGCAUGGGGUGUAUCUCGUGUGAUCAUGUAACUGCGUGUGGUCUUGGCCAUCUUCCGCUGAAAGUUUUUUUUUUAAUUUAUUAAACUUAUCGAGGAUGUUGUCGUUUAAAUUUUCUAUUACUUUUCCCUAAGUGGUAAUACUUUAUUUUCAACUGGGUACCCAUGUUUUGAAAAUUGUUAUUUUUUUUAAUAAAGGCAACAUUAGUAUCUUAACGCCAGUUUAUUUAUGGCAUCUUAUUUUACGUAAGUAAGGGCG